GGGAACAAAGAGGCACUUGGCUCACCCUAGAUCAAGAGGAGAGGCUCUCCAGAUUUGCUGACCUAGAAGGAUAAGUCUGAAAGUAGGAGGGUGGGGAGAGCCAGAUGAACAAGGGAGGUGAAAACGUGAUCUAGGGAGGCAUCCGAGUGAGCAAAGGCACGAGUGAGCCUGGUACACUUCUGGGCAGGCAGAAGGAAGGCAGUUAGGCUGUUAGGAAGGCAGUUAGGCUGCAGUGAAUUCUACAAAGAGGCUAUGGGAAAGAAACCUGGAAAGUACCCUUGGCUGUGUACAUUUGAGUAAAGAGAGCACUAUAAAAUCAAAAACCAAUGAAAUGGUUUCCAGAACACAGAACUAUUAAGCUUAAGAAAAGGACAGAAGGAACUGAAGAGAGAGGAACUGUUUUGGAGCAUCACACUUCCACCUCAGAAGAAAUAAGGAAGGAAGGAGGAGGGUGUUCCCACGGCUCUUCAACCAGGCCGGCUCUUCAGCCUACAUCCCCAUCUCAUCAAGUAAAAGGGAUUUUUCAACUGGACCAACCAGAUGGUUUAACAGUGCACUCCCACACCAUUCAACUACGCAAGGGAGAUACACUUAACAUAUGCAGUCGUAUAACACCUACUAACAUUUUCAAACAUUAAACCUUUAAAAAAGAGUUCUAAAGAAAUAGAAGCUUGAAGUAUCAUCUCUCAAGUAUAUAGACACUACUUCAUGGUGUGGUAAUAUAUGCAUAUAGAAGCUAGUAAACACCUCCAGGAGAUGCAAAAGGAAUUAGAACUGCCACAAGGUGCAAGCAAAACCUUGAGUCUCCAUUGAUGGUGAAGUAUUUUCACUAUUUGGCAUGUCUUCUCUAGUACCUAGAGCAGUGCGUUGCAUGCAGUAGCAGGUUUAUAAACAUUUGCGAGUAAAACAUCCAACCUGAUACUCAAGUUCUGUUUUUCCUCUUCUAAUCCUUCACCCAUCUGAGCUAAAGUCUAGACCUAAGGAGGCUACUAAUUCAGGGAUCGAGUAAUCUGCCAAGCAAGAGUUUAUUCAAGCACAGUUUGAAAUAAAGGUUUCAAAUGCAUAGCCUGUCGAUACUUUGGAAGGAUUCUCAUCAUAACGAGUAUGCAAUUUGCUAUAAAGAAGAAUGCCCAUUACGGACUAAAUGUUUAUGUCCUCCUAAAAUUCAUAUGUUGAAGGCCUAACUCUCAAUGUGAUGAUUAUGUGGAGAUGGUGCCUUUGGGAGGUAACUGGGCUUAGAUGUGGGCGUGAGGGUGGGGCCUCAUGGUGAAAUUUGUGCCCUUGUAAGAAAAACACACCACAGGUUUUCAUUCUUCCUCUGCCACAUGAGGCCACAGUAAGAAUGUGACCAUCUGCUAGCCAGGAGGAAAGUCCUCACUGGAACCCGCCCAUAAUAACACUCCAGUCUGGGGCUUUUCAGCCUCCAGAACCAUGAGAAAUAAAUUUCUAGUGUUUAAGUCACCCAGGCUAUGGUAUUUUGUUAUAGUUGACGAAAACAAUGCCCAAUGAAUUAAAUUUUCUCCUUCUGGGCUGAGGAGAGCUGGAAAAGGGAACAGCAUGGUCCCGUGAGAGAGAUCUUUCUGUCUUUGACUCCAGUUCUCUUCCUGCUCCCCAUCUCCUUUUUCCAUCACCAGAAAUCACAUCAUGCAAAACCUAAAUAACUUUAUGAAUGUGAAAGUAGAAAAUAGCCAUGUCCUACUUCCCAUUUGGAAAUGGAAAAAUGGAAGGAAAAAAUAAAAACAGCAGCUUGCAGCACUCUCUGAAA
rnacentral:lncRNA from 10 species